rnacentral:tRNA from 1 species
UGCAACGUAGCUCAAUUGGACAGAGCCCUUGUUUUCUAUAUGUUAUUAAUUGUGGAAUAGUUAAUGAUACAGGCAAGAAGAUGCAGGUUCAAGUCCUGCCGUUGUGACCA